UCUACUCUGUCAACAAAUAAAAAAAAAGAACAUAGUGAAUACUAUUUUUAUGGCAUGCAACCUGCAAAGUAAUGGUUGUUAAUUAGUUUGAUUCCAAUAGCUCUUGUUUAAGUUCCUGCACUUUCAUUGUUGCUACUUUGAUAGUCUCUAAUAAAUAUUCUAAUCUUUGACCUAUGUCAUCAGUGUCUCCCCAAUUAUCUGUGUUUUUUUGGCAGGAAAGCAUACCUAAAGUGCGAAAGCUGGUAUCACUAUUCAGAAGCACUUAGGCUGAAUGGAUCUGAACUUGGAGGCCACAAGUUGUGUGUGUCUGAAUGUUUUAGGGGCAGGAAAUUCUGGUCAGGCCAUAUCUCUCCUGAUGGGCCUGGUACAGGUAAAAGUAAAGGGGCUAUUGCUUAUUUGACCCCGUUUUAGAUCCUAACUACCAAUUUGACCCUACUUUUCAGAGUUUGCUUAUUUGACCCUCCUUUUCAAAAACGAAGCUCCCGUUUGACCCUGUUUCCGCUAGUCCGUUAAGUUUUGAUUUAAAAUAAAAAAAGAAAUGCAACUAUUAUUCAUAAUACCCAUAAUACCCUUAGGAAACCCUAUCCAUCCACCCUCAACCCUAUCCACAUUUCUCUCUCUACACACUUUCUCUCUCUCCUUGCGGCGGUGCUGGUGCUCUAAUGGGGCGGCGGCUGCGCUGAUGGGGCGGCGGAGACGGCGAGCCGGCGCCGGCCUUGGUCACGACGACGACGAGGAGUGGCGGCGGCGAGUUCUUCUCCUCUCCUCCACGGAUCCACCACAGGAGAGGCAGUGAAUGGCGAGACGGCGAGCUGGCACCGGCCCUGCUGACGACGACGACGACAAGGAGUGGCAGCGGCGAGUCCGAGCGGUGGAGCUCGAGCUGCGGUCAGCGGAUCCGGCGGCGACGCCGCCGCCUCCUCUCUCCACCCGCGCGCCUGCGCCGGGGCCGCCGCCGCCGCCUCCUCCCUCCACCCGCGCGCCUGCAUCGGGACCGCCGCCGCCGCCUUCUCCCUCCUUCCACCCGCCUGCGCCGGCGCCGGCGCCGCCGCCUCCACCUCCUUCAUUCCGCGCCCCUAGCUGCCGCCGCUUCCUUCCUCCCUCCACGAGCCGGCGCGGCUGCUCGCCCCCUCCGUGCGCUGCCACCGUAACUCGCCCCUUCGUCAGCCGCCGCUGCCGCCUCCUCCCUCCGCCUCCUCAGAGCGCCGCCGCCGCCGCCCUAACAAUGCCGCCGCCGCAAGUCGCCGCCCCAUCGGCGCCUGCUCUCCCUCUCGCCGAUCCGUGGAGAAGAGAAGAGAAGAAAAGAGAGAAGAGAGGAGACGAGGAGAGGAGAAGAGAGAACUGACGGGAAAGAAGAUAGUUUUCAGCAACUGCAGUGAUGAGGAGCAGGAAGAAGAGCUUCAAGCCAAAUCUGCAAUAUAAAAAAUGUACUAUAUGCAGUGUACUAAUUGCUAGAGUUUAAAAGUAUGACUUGAAGACUGUUUUAUGCGCUGGCUGAGCUAUAGUUCACUGACAACCUUUGGGAUUAUUAGGAGACUGAAGAUGCAAUAGACUAGGUUUGGUUCACAAUACCGCUGGGGUGUUGAAUUUCGACCCAGCAAGAUGUCGAAAACUGAGAAAUUUUGACCAAUCUCAGUUGAAUUACUGUUUUAAAUUUGAAUUUCUCAAAAACCAUUCGAAACA